GAGGGUAUAGCUCAGUGGUAGAGUGCAUGCCUAGCACCCACAAGGUGCUGGGUUCAAUUUCCAGUAUCUCUG
rnacentral:tRNA from 1 species